GAUGAACGCUGGCGGCGUGCCUAAUACAUGCAAGUCGAGCGAACGGACGAGAAGCUUGCUUCUCUGAUGUUAGCGGCGGACGGGUGAGUAACACGUGGAUAACCUACCUAUAAGACUGGGAUAACUUCGGGAAACCGGAGCUAAUACCGGAUAAUAUUUUGAACCGCAUGGUUCAAAAGUGAAAGACGGUCUUGCUGUCACUUAUAGAUGGAUCCGCGCUGCAUUAGCUAGUUGGUAAGGUAACGGCUUACCAAGGCAACGAUGCAUAGCCGAUCUGAGAGGGUGAUCGGCCACACUGGAACUGAGACACGGUCCAGACUCCUACGGGAGGCAGCAGUAGGGAAUCUUCCGCAAUGGGCGAAAGCCUGACGGAGCAACGCCGCGUGAGUGAAGAAGGUCUUCGGAUCGUAAAACUCUGUUAUUAGGGAAGAACAGAUGUGUAAGUAUCUGUGCACAUCUUGACGGUACCUAAACAAAAAGCCACGGCUAACUACGUG
rnacentral:rRNA from 1 species